rnacentral:rRNA from 1 species
GAUGAACGCUGGCGGCGUGCCUAAUACAUGCAAGUCGAGCGAACAGACGAGAAGCUUGCUCCUCUGAUGUUAGCGGCGGACGGGUGAGUAACACGUGGAUAACCUACCUAUAAGACUGGGAUAACUUCGGGAAACCGUAGCUAAUACCGGAUAAUAUUUUGAACCGCAUGGUUCAAAAGUGAAAGACGGUUUUGCUGUCACUUAUAGAUGGAUCCGCGCUGCAUUAGCUAGUUGGUAAGGUAACGGCUUACCAAGGCAACGAUGCAUAGCCGACCUGAGAGGGUGAUCGGCCACACUGGAACUGAGACACGGUCCAGACUCCUACGGGAGGCAGCAGUAGGGAAUCUUCCGCAAUGGGCGAAAGCCUGACGGAGCAACGCCGCGUGAGUGAUGAAGGUCUUCGGAUCGUAAAACUCUGUUAUUAGGGAAGAACAUAUGUGUAAGUAACUAUGCACGUCUUGACGGUACCUAAUCAGAAAGCCACGGCUAACUACGUG